UAUAGCGCAAAGCUGCGGUAUGGAGAAAAGCCUAGAACCCACAGCCGCCAUGAUGACGCAAACAAAAUUAAAAGGGUCAAGAACUCAAGGCCCACUGUUUCACCUAAGAAGAAAAGGAAGAAGAUGAAGGGGAGAAGAGAAGCUCUGAUUUGGGUCAAUAUGGAAAGGGGAGGCUGACGCAGGCUGCCCAAGAGCCAGCCUUUAGCUUAGUGACGGUGAUGCGGAUCCGCCAUCUUGAAGCGCCGCCCGGCAGAGGACUCUCAAGACGCCACAGCCCCACCACGGCCACUUCUCCCAAGGUACAGGUGCGCCCGCAUUCACUGAGGUCGGCCUGGCCCACCCCUACCCCAAGAAGCGAAUCGCCCUUCAUUCAAGGCAAUGACCAGCAAGACUAUCACAAAGAGAACCACGGUGAAAAAUCCCAAAGGGCUUUCUGGGCCCUGGGAAGAUGUCUGUCAUCUGGGACUAGUGGGAAGAACUCAAAAAGUGACCCUAUUUGCCAAGCUCAUCUAAUAACACAUACAGCUGUUAUUUUCUUUUCAGACUCUAAAAUGCAAGGGUUCCCAGAGCCCUGCUGAGUUACCUGGUGUCGCUCCCAUCCUGAUGCCCGGGCGGUGGCCGCCUUCUCUGUCCAGCCCUCCCUGAAAAUGACCCCAGGCUAAGGAUCAGCUCAGAGCCCCGAGCUGUUUUUGUAGCUUUCAUGUUGACAGAACAUCCUGGCCACUCUGCUGAGAGCUCCAUCUCCCGGCUCCCGAUACACUGAGUCAUCUUCCAAAGAGGAAAAAAAACAACAAAGCAGCCGUCACCAGGGUCCCCAUUGCCGUCGACUGACGACUCACUGGCUGUCGUCACACUCUGCUCCGCGGCCCCCGAAUUGGUAACGAGGGGCUUCAGGGUGCCCAGCUCCCCUCCCGUGGGACUCAGCAGCGUCAGGGAAGCAGGCAGCCACUGCUGAGAUUCAGAAAGAAGGGAAACUAACCUGGCAUCAAAAGGCUCCCAGGAAAGCUCACUGACCCUCCCUCUGCCGUCACCAGCCCCCACCACUCAGAUGCCAUGGCAUGUUCCUGAUGCAGAAGUAAAGGGGUAUUUAUGGCAGGUGGGGGACAGUACACCUUGCAGGCUUGAAGGGCGUAACGCCUAGGUUACCUCCUCUGCGCCCCUGCUGUGAUACCACUUAGGGCACAGGAGCUCCUGUCUCCCCCAUUUCUUCUCUAGCCCCCUGCUAUGCUCCCAUUUUAAGUCCCUGAUAAACCACUGGGUAGGGAUGGGAACCUAUUUGCUGCCAAUAUAUUAGGCAUUUCUGUAUAACAGUUGUAGUAGCUCCAUCUCACUGAAAACUUAAAUCAUAUGACUUGUCUAAAGUCACUCAGCUAAGAAGAAGGAUCACAAUGAAAACCUAGGUCUGUUCAAGUCCAGUGUCUCUGCUCCCUGCUCUCUAAUUCUGGAGCUUAUUCUGGCUUUGAAGAUGCUGUAUCCCACUCCACCUCUCCCUCCUCUUGUACGAGGAAGGCAACCAGGAUAACUGAGUCAGUUAAUCCAUCAAUUUCAGCUACAAGAAAAAAGCCAUCAUCUUGAGUGAACCUGACCACAAAGGAAGAGGAGAAAGUUAAUGACAGUGUCAAGGAACAGCUGAGGGACCCAGACCAUGGACACAAGAUUGACCACCCAAACUCCCUCAGAGCAUUAGGGACUUACAAAAUUCCUUAAAUAGACAAAUUUUGGGGAUCUACUUCAUAACAGCCAUCUUGUAAACACCAGUAAUUCAGAGAGGAAAAAUGUAAAGGCUUUGGAAGACCAGGGCUCUAGUCAUGACCAGGCCACUUACUAGACAUGGGAUGCUCCCCACAGGGCUGUGGAAAGGAGUAAAUGAAGUAACUGCAGGGAAAGUGUAUAACAUGGUAUCUGUCAAACAGAAGGCACCAAAUAGGUAUUUGUUUUCCUUCUCCUUUCUCUAGCCUCCCUCCUGGAGCUCCCAAUCUGAUAGGUGACAUAAGACUUAUACACAAAUAAUCAUAACACAACAAAAGUACCAUAAAAAGGGACAGACUGUAUGGAAGUUUGGCUGAAAGGGCAGGGGUGGUUAUGAGAACUGCUUCUUGCCAAGGAAAUCAGGAGAGGUCCACGGAGAAAGUGAGACUGCCACAGGUGGAUGCAGAGGAGAAGAGGCAUGGAAAACAUCACUGGUGAAAACAGAUAGGAAAAGGAAGUUGCCUGGUUUUGUUGGAACCUAUGGUCCACCAAAAGAAACUGAGAGAGGUAAGACUGUACAGGAAACCUAAGGCCAGUUACGGCCAGCAUUGAGCAUCACGCUAAAGGGAAGGAAUUUUACUCUGGGAAUUAUGAGAAACCAUUUUAAGUUUCUGAGCAAGAAAGACAAGAUGGCCGCUGCACGCAGAAGGGCCUGGAGAGAGGGGGAACGGGCAGCGGGGAGCCUCACAAGAGGACUACAGCUGGAACCAUGGCACUGGCAGGGGGCAUGGAGGAGAAAGAGAAGAAAAACAGUAAGCAGGCAGGACCAUCCGAACAGAUCCUCAAAGCUGCCAUGGACCUCACUUCCCUGUCCCCACAGGGAGGCUGCUGGAGACAGAGCCUAUUUGGGGAACACAAACCACGGGUCUGACACGUCUGAGAUGAGCUGCCGAGCCUCUGCCUCCACUCUCAUUCAGACACUCAGCUUUUCCGAACUACUCCAAGCACCAGGCUGAUGAGGACAUGGGAAACCCACGCUCUGGCAAAGCCGGGCCCAGGUGUUGAACCCCUACCCAGACGCCUUCCACCUGAAUCCCCACCCAGGACUGUGUCCAAGGGUGGGACUAGGCGGCUCUGCCCCUAGAGCCACCUUCAUUGCGGCAGCCACCACUGUGCCUGCCUCUGCUGUGCUUUUGCCCCCCCUUCCCCUCCUCCGUCAUAGCCCCCGCCCCCCGCCCACUCUGCGGAACUGGCACAGCAGGACAGAAAAACCAACGCCACCAUGUCGGAGACCAGCAGAAAUGGCUCCAAAAUGGCAGCUCAUCAGAGGAGUCCAGAAAGAUCAUAAACCCACCCAGGGAAAAGAGGGGAAGCCAGUGACAAGGGGAGUAAACUGUCAAAACUACCUCCCAACCAAGCCCCCGAUAAUCAUCACAUCUUUUCCUUCAGAAACAUCCUCUCAAAAAUCAGAUGGGACAUGAGUGAAAGAAGGGUGCCACCCCCUCCACCAGAGAGGCCCUAGGGGCCAUAGGUGGUAUGGGGCACUCAGAAGGAUGUUCUGUAGCCUCUUCCCCAAGAUGAGGCUAGAAAACCACCACUUUUGUCCUCAAGCUUGGCUCCUGCCAGUAACUAGACAAGAGUUAGCCCUCCCAGGGAUUGCAGUCCUUCACUGCUACCCAGUCAGACCCUCCCCAGCUCUAUGGGCCCUGGGGAGCAAGAAGGUAGGGUUGCAAGGAAGGGCCGAGAAGGCGCGUGCCAUGCCCUCAGUUAUGUAAUAAGAAGGGCGGUGCUCGUCCUAGGCCAGAGACCCAGGGCGCACUGCGCUUCCAGAUGCGCAGUCACGGGUGGGGGCCACUGCGCAUGGCGCAGGGCUUGGUAAACCCCCUCCCCACAAACGUGAGACCUGCGACAAAGACAGGUUAGAGAGCCGGGACCCUGAUUUUUCGAGGCCUCCCUCCCCCAACCAAAGGCGGACAGCCUGCUGCCCUAGUUUUAUUCUGAUUCUCCUCAUUCCCUAGACUGACAAACCUUUCUAACCCGGGGCCUCCAAACCUCCCGUCUCCCACUGACUUUUCUGGAAAUCCCACCAGAUGCGGAGUUUCGAGCAAUUUCCUGGGGUCAGUCCCCCAUCCUCACCUUUCCAAGCACCACGUAGUAGUAGCUUCCAGAAGGUAGAUCUUUCCCAUACUGGGCUCAGCUCACAACUGGCUCUUGAGGGCCUCUGGACAGCCCCGGACGUCAAUGCAAAUCUGUUGUCCCCAGGGAGUAGCCCAGAGUCAGCAGGAAGCCCAGGGUGGUGGCAGUAUCAGCAGCAGCAGCUCUGCCCUACCUUGCCCAUGCGUUUCCAGGGGAGCCAAGAAUUAUUUUGCCGCAACACUGAGGUGUGGCUGAUUGGAAAAUUCCCUUUUCCAACACCAAACUACAGAAUAAAUAUUUUCUUCCAAUUUGGUCAACCCUCUGCAUACCCAUCUCCCUAGCAUUCUUCCCUCUAAAUAAAAAGUUUUGGGAGCCCUGAGCUCUUCCUCCUUA
rnacentral:lncRNA from 1 species